rnacentral:rRNA from 1 species
UACGUAGGGUGCGAGCGUUAAUCGGAAUUACUGGGCGUAAAGCGUGCGCAGGCGGCUCUUUAAGUCAGAUGUGAAAGCCCCGGGCUUAACCUGGGAACUGCGUUUGAAACUGGAGGGCUUGAGUGUGGCAGAGGGAGGUGGAAUUCCACGUGUAGCAGUGAAAUGCGUAGAGAUGUGGAGGAACACCAAUGGCGAAGGCAGCCUCCUGGGCCAACACUGACGCUCAUGCACGAAAGCGUGGGGAGCAAACAGG